ensembl:lncRNA
CUGCAUGGUGAUUCCCAGACAAAAGAAACAGGAUUGCAUUCAUCCUCCAACAAAGCUUGCUGUGCGCCUCCAUUUAGAAACAAUACUUUCUGAUUUUAUCACUCAUACCUGCAGCCUUCCAGGCCAGAAGUACAGUCCUUCAGAAAGCCACCCCGUUCAUCUUCAUCUUCCCAACCUCGCAGCCACUUGAGCUCACAUCUCAGCGACUCCCAUUCUGGUUGCUUUUCUAUCCAAGUCCAUGAGCAUCACCAUCUCCGUGGCACACCUCACAGCAUCAUCAAACCUGAAGCUUUUGGGGGUGACAAGUAGGCCAGCCCUCAGCCAAAAUGGGGCUGCCAAUUUUGUUCGAGGGGCAGUCACUGAGGGCACUUAUGAGAAGCAAUCUUCGGGCUUUCUGGCAGUAUCUGACUGCUGAAAAGCAGUGUUACAGAGAGUAAAGAAUGACAGUAAGAGACUAGCAAAUAAUAGCUCCUCAGAAGCAAUAUUCACUGCAGAGUAAAAAGACACAACUUGAGAGAGUUCUGUACAUAUUAAAGAUGCUUACCCGUGCACUGUGUGCCUAUUAACACCCUCGCUGUUAUCCAGGCAUGGCACCAAAGCUGCAUUUUCCAUAAUGUUUCACCAGCCUCUUGCGUUAAGAUGUUCAUGUCUGCAGCUCUUCCUAAGGGGGAAAACAACAGAGAGGGAAAGGUGCAACUUGGAACGAGAGGCAGUGUCACGCUACCAGUUAAAACAACAGCCACAACCUGCAAUGACCACACAAGCCCUGUACCCCCGGGUGGUGUGAGAGGAGAGCAACCACUGAUGAGAGUUUCAGGUGCUUUUUUUCUGCCCUUUCUCGGAGCGCUACGGAGCGGAGCCGGGGCUGCACGUCGCGCCGGGGCCGGCAGGCAGCGCUCAGCACCAAGCGAUGCACAGCCCCGUCCUCCCGAGGGGAUCAGCAGCUACAGGAGCAAAGAAAUCCUCUGUCUGCAGGAGGAAGAUAAAAUUUAUCAUUAAGCACAACACUUUUAUCAUGGAUACUCUUAUUGCCCAACUUUAAACAGAAGCACCAUAAAUCUCACCAGAAAUCCACUCAUCGACAACCACUGUUUGCACACCACGAACACACGUUGACCUGCACUAAGGCUGCAGCUGGGUAACAGAAUAACACUUCACGUUGAUGCCAGCUAAUAUCCAUAUGAGACUUACCUGGCAGUGGCAGGAGGAGAAGGAGGACAGGGUCCAAAACCCUCAAAGGCAACUUCUGAAACCGCGCACCAGCAGCUCAGUACCUGAAGUGGCUGGAAAACAUCACUUGACUUCCAUCUUCCAUGUAAAUACGUUUUCCUUUGGAUGAAGAUGUCCCAGUCAGCCUCUGGGGAGGCAGGAAUACACCCUGUAGCCACAGCAGAAUGAGCUGAAAUGGUCACAAAAGGUCAAUGAAAUGAUUUUAUUAUAACUAAGGGCCUGGUCAUUGUGGAUAUGUGGCGUUCACAAUAUUACCCCCUUGGUAACAACAGGGUAUUUUCAUGGCCCAUAAGGUACUGCAGGAUCAUUUGCAGCAGCUUUUACCCAGGUUUUCUCCUCAGAAGAAGGUUUCCCAUCCCUGAAGCACUCACUAAAGGCUCUGGGGACUGGGUUUGCCUUCCUGUGUGCGUCACAGCCAAUGUUGCUUGUUUAGAAUGUUUCCAUUUGUAAUUAUUGCACAAUUGAAUGAAGCGAGGUGCUUUGAUCACAUAAUCAUUACAUCUCCCCUGCUUUGAGGCUAACUGGGCAGCAUGACAGCAUCAGUUUUAAUCCCCAGGUGGUGCCAAUAAAAACAAGAACUUGUAGUUUAGUACAAAGCUAUCUGUGGUCUUCUAUUCCUUUAACAGCUAAUGAUAGAACAAAACUACAAAAUAUAGCAAUGAUCCCACAGCUGCAAACUACCCAUUAAAGCAACACAAGAUGUGCAAAGGAUGCCUGUCGGCACGCUCCAAGCCAAUGAAUCAUCUAAUGCCCUCCCAUAUGCACAGAGGAUUGCAGAUUUCAUUUAUUUCGCCGGUACCUGUCAGAGCUGAAGUAGAAGUGCAUUUAACAGGGGAUCAAAACCCAUCACCACUAGGAUUGGGAUGGAACCUCUUCAACUGUCAGAUUUCACAGAAGAGACUGCAUGACACUUUGGCAGGAUUUUCAUAACCCUGCCAUGUCAGAAAGUCAUAGGGCUGCUAGCUGCUUGAUCUGCAAAGCAAUUGCUAGUUGGGAAAAAUAAGCGAGGACAUCACCCAUUAUAUUCCACAAAGCACAGAACUGAAAAAUAAUAACAAGACAGAGAAUAGAUUCGGAUGGCUGAAACAGAUGGAUAUUCCCUCAGCAUAAAUGCCAAGUGUCAGUUAGACACAUCAGUUUUUUCCCUGCUGUAGGUUUUUAACAAGAGAAACAAGAAGAUUAGUAGGGUACAUACCACGAGUCUGCAAAGGUCUCUGUGAUCUCAAGUAAGGUGAGUUUACCGACAGUCUCUCAGUGGUCUCCAGGGAGGCAUUCUCAGUUGGCAUUAAUUGGCACAGAAAGAUCAACGAAGCUGCAGUUUUUGCCUAGCUCUUUCUCUUCCAUCCUAUUUGUUUGCACAGAGGAACCGUUUAUGGACAGAUUCCUCCCUGGGAUGAUUUGUGCUAACUCCACAGUGCCUCCAGUAAACUCAUUUUUCUUGAAUCCCCUCUGGUACAGGGGCUGACGAAGGCAGUCGUGAUUCCUGGAUCUAUGCCCUUGGCAAGCUUGUGAUUAAUACCACCUCUUGGUCUUAGAGACUUGGGAUUUUAAGAACGUUGUGGUUUAAAACUGGAAUCUGCCAGACCACAGGAGCCUGAAGGACUUUGAGUUCCACUUGUUUUCUCUGUGGCAUCAGAUUAGUCUCAUUCCUACAUUAGUUUGUGCAGACUUUGUGUUCCCAAAAAGAGUCCCAUAGGGGUCCCUUGCAACCUCUUUAUACACAGAGAAUCACACUCAUGCUUUCUCCUCUGACACUCCAUUUUUACUGCAUUCUCCUGCUGAUUCUUCUCCUAUAUAAACUUGAAUAAUUUAUGCUUUUUUAAUUAUUUCUUUUUCUACUAACUUUUUCACUUGUUUCUUGUUGGUAUUUGCAUUUCUCCGGUGCUGGUGUGAUCAACCCAGAGGAGGCAGGAUGGAAGUCUUGCAGCCUCAGCAGAG